AUAUAUUGUAUAUAUAUUGUAUAUAUAUUGUGACAUGUUGGCAACACCCUAGUUGACUAAAAAAAAGGUGGGUUAAACAGCAUUCCGUAGAUUUUUACCAAUUUUUAGAGAUUAUCAGUUCACGGUUGGGAAUAUAUUACCACGAUGUACCAGGAGGGUCCUGGUACAUCGUGAUAUUACAUUUCAUGCAGAUAACUUGCAAAGCCAUCUAGCCGUCAAAAUCGUCACUUGAAGGAGGGAUUUCAAUAGGCCUUCAACGGAGGAGGAGUCUACAACAUGUUUACGCUUACGUUUACGCGUGAGGUGCAAUAGAUUUUACCUUUGUUUAUGGAACCAACCGAAUCAACAUUAUUUAUCAGUGGGAAAUUCGGCACCGAAGUAACCUGUUGCGAGACAUUUCCGUUAGUUAUAGCUUCGAAGUACAACAAUCCAUUUGCGAUUGACAAACUUUGAGAGCUGGCUUUGUGUUAUCGUACAAAAAGGUUUUCUCUAAAUAAUUAAUUCAAUAUAUUCCUCUUUGGUUUAGGUAUAGAAUGAAGGAAUAGCUAUUCAUUAUUGUUGAAGAAAGCCUUGCCAAGUUGGUGGAACUUGAAACUGAGACUGAGAGGGAAAAUAACCGAAAACUUUCCUACUUUGUGAUAUCUGUAAAAUACAGAGUUUCAAGACUACUGAAGGCAAAAUUAUUGAAGCAUUGGUUUACCUGCUUCAAGAAUGUAAACCAGAAAUGCUCAAAUUUGAGUUAUAUGAAUCCUAUUUUGGUCAUUUAAGUAGGAUUCAUAGAAUUGCCUUCAAAGGCAAACAUGUAAAAAGUAGGUGGUAAGGUACAAUCGUGACUCAGAACUGAAAUCAGCACAUAUGUGAAAUUAACAAUAAAUUUACCUCAAUGCCAAACUGCUUUUACAGUGAUGAUUGCCUAACCAAACAAGGAGAUAUGAUCCACAUGUUUAUAAACUAAAUAAUCAAGCAGAAGUAAUUUUAACAGACAAACUUAUGUACCUAACUCCAUCUGUAACAUUUUUGAAUUCUAAUACAGUUGGUGUUUUAUGUGUA